rnacentral:rRNA from 1 species
GACGAACGCUGGCGGCGUGCUUAACACAUGCAAGUCGAGCGGUAAGGCCCUUCGGGUACGACGAGCGGCGAACGGGUGAGUAACACGUGGGUGACCUGCCUCUAGCUCUGGGAUAAGCCUGGGAAACGUGGGUCUAAUACCGGAUAUGACUCCACGGCGCAUGUUGUGGGGUGGAAAGCCUUGUGUGGCUAGAGAUGGGCCCGCGGCCUAUCAGCUUGUUGGUGGGGUGAUGGCCUACCAAGGCGACGACGGGUAGCCGGCCUGAGAGGGCGACCGGCCACACUGGGACUGAGACACGGCCCAGACUCCUACGGGAGGCAGCAGUGGGGAAUCUUGCGCAAUGGGCGAAAGCCUGACGCAGCGACGCCGCGUGAGGGAUGACGGCCU